rnacentral:rRNA from 2 species
CCAGAUGAACGCUAGCUACAGGCUUAACACAUGCAAGUCGAGGGGCAGCAUGGUCUUAGCUUGCUAAGGCCGAUGGCGACCGGCGCACGGGUGAGUAACACGUAUCCAACCUGCCGUCUACUCUUGGACAGCCUUCUGAAAGGAAGAUUAAUACAAGAUGGCAUCAUGAGUCCGCAUGUUCACAUGAUUAAAGGUAUUCCGGUAGACGAUGGGGAUGCGUUCCAUUAGAUAGUAGGCGGGGUAACGGCCCACCUAGUCUUCGAUGGAUAGGGGUUCUGAGAGGAAGGUCCCCCACAUUGGAACUGAGACACGGUCCAAACUCCUACGGGAGGCAGCAGUGAGGAAUAUUGGUCAAUGGGCGAGAGCCUGAACCAGCCAAGUAGCGUGAAGGAUGACUGCCCUAUGGGUUGUAAACUUCUUUUAUAAAGGAAUAAAGUCGGGUAUGGAUACCCGUUUGCAUGUACUUUAUGAAUAAGGAUCGGCUAACUCCGUGCCAGCAGCCGCGGUAAUACGGAGGAUCCGAGCGUUAUCCGGAUUUAUUGGGUUUAAAGGGAGCGUAGAUGGAUGUUUAAGUCAGUUGUGAAAGUUUGCGGCUCAACCGUAAAAUUGCAGUUGAUACUGGAUAUCUUGAGUGCAGUUGAGGCAGGCGGAAUUCGUGGUGUAGCGGUGAAAUGCUUAGAUAUCACGAAGAACUCCGAUUGCGAAGGCAGCCUGCUAAGCUGCAACUGACAUUGAGGCUCGAAAGUGUGGUAUCAACAGGAUA